GGUUGUGCAUCAGUGGUAGAACGCUUGCCUAGCAUGUGUGAGGCACUGGGUUCGAGCCUCAGCACCA
rnacentral:tRNA from 1 species